AUGAAAUGAUAGCAGUGUAAAGAGAGCUCACAACUAGAAUGAUCCAGCUGAUAUUAUCUACGAAAAAAAGGACUAUUGAUAAUCCUGCCAAAAUGACCCAAUCCCUGGUAUGAACCAACUUGCUGUGGGAUUCUCACUGCCAACCGAUGCUCCAGGCUGUCAUAAAAAGCCAGAGAUAUUGGAAGAACAAAAAGAAAAGUCAAAUUGGAACUAU